UACGUAGGGGGCUAGCGUUGUCCGGAAUCAUUGGGCGUAAAGAGCGUGUAGGCGGUCCGGUAAGUCCGCUGUGAAAGUCGGGGGCUCAACCCUCGAAUGCCGGUGGAUACUGUCGGGCUAGAGUCCGGAAGAGGCGAGUGGAAUUCCCGGUGUAGCGGUGAAAUGCGCAGAUAUCGGGAGGAACACCAAUGGCGAAGGCAGCUCGCUGGGACGGUACUGACGCUGAGGCGCGAAAGCGUGGGGAGCAAACAGG
rnacentral:rRNA from 1 species